GCGGAGGGAUAUUACCGAGUUUACACUCCCAAACCCCAAUGUGAACGUUACCAAUCUGUUGCCUCGGCGGGAUUCUCUUGCCCCGGGCGCGUCGCAGCCCCGGAUCCCAUGGCGCCCGCCGGAGGACCAACUCCAAACUCUUUUUUUCUCUCCGUCGCGGCUCCCGUCGCGGCUCUGUUUUAUUUUUGCUCUGAGCCUUUCUCGGCGACCCUAGCGGGCGUCUCGAAAAUGAAUCAAAACUUUCAACAACGGAUCUCUUGGUUCUGGCAUCGAUGAAGAACGCAGCGAAAUGCGAUAAGUAAUGUGAAUUGCAGAAUUCAGUGAAUCAUCGAAUCUUUGAACGCACAUUGCGCCCGCCAGUAUUCUGGCGGGCAUGCCUGUCCGAGCGUCAUUUCAACCCUCGAACCCCUCCGGGGGGUCGGCGUUGGGGAUCGGCCCCUCACCGGGCCGCCCCCGAAAUACAGUGGCGGUCUCGCCGCAGCCUCUCCUGCGCAGUAGUUUGCACACUCGCACCGGGAGCGCGGCGCGGCCACAGCCGUAAAACACCCCAAACUUCUGAAAUGUUGACCUCGGAUCAGGUAGGAAUACCCGCUGAACUUAAGCAUAUCAAUAA
rnacentral:rRNA from 1 species